UUGGAUGGGCUCACGGCCUAUCAGCUUGUUGGUGGGGUAAUGGCUCACCAAGGCGACGACGGGUAGCCGGCCUGAGAGGGUGACCGGCCACACUGGGACUGAGACACGGCCCAGACUCCUACGGGAGGCAGCAGUGGGGAAUAUUGCACAAUGGGCGGAAGCCUGAUGCAGCGACGCCGCGUGAGGGAUGACGGCCUUCGGGUUGUAAACCUCUUUCAGCACGGAAGAAGCGAAAGUGACGGUACGUGCAGAAGAAGCGCCGGCUAACUACGUGCCAGCAGCCGCGGUAAUACGUAGGGCGCAAGCGUUGUCCGGAAUUAUUGGGCGUAAAGAGCUCGUAGGCGGUUUGUCGCGUCUGCUGUGAAAGCCCGGGGCUUAACCCCGGGUGUGCAGUGGGUACGGGCAGACUUGAGUGCAGUAGGGGAGACUGGAAUUCCUGGUGUAGCGGUGAAAUGCGCAGAUAUCAGGAGGAACACCGAUGGCGAAGGCAGGUCUCUGGGCUGUUACUGACGCUGAGGAGCGAAAGCAUGGGGAGCGAACAGGAUUAGAUACCCUGGUAGU
rnacentral:rRNA from 1 species